AAAUUGAUUGACUUCAAGAGACGGUGGCAGCUCAUGAGGUGGGGGAUUCAUUGCUGCUCAAGUGCAUGAACAUCGCUUGUGGUUUAGUCCAGAGAUCAAAGCAAUCUGCAGCUCUUGGACUGCCCAUACCAGGAGCUUCUUCACCAACUUCAUUGCAUUGGUUCCAAGCUUCAAACGCCACUCUCAACCGAUCUCUUUUCAUUCCUAGGCCCCCGACAGCUGAGAUAUAAGGCGUCUCUCGCACGGCCUGAACACUCAAUAUUAGAAAAUUCAAUACUAGCAGCACAACCAUAUUCAACACCUUUUUCUCCAUCGCCAUUUUCCUGCAACAAAGUUGAGAUGUAAGAGAAAAGUGUGGCUAUUUGUAGCUUUGAACCUUUAUGGAGGAGGUUCUGAAAUUUUAGAUAAUCGUUAGUCUUUUUACAUGUAAUUUUUAAUAAUAAGAAUUACUAUUAGAUUUAUCUGUUAAAUUUUAUAUAUUUAGAAAAUUUACUAACUUAUUUGAAAACCACCUAAAAGUGGAUAUUAUUGUGCAACAGUUAAUUGUCUUUGGCGAGUCAGAAAGCCAAUAAAACAA